rnacentral:tRNA from 1 species
GCCCGGGUGGCGGAAUUGGUAGACGCAAGGGACUUAAAAUCCCUCGGCACUGAGUGCUGUACCGGUUCGACCCCGGUCCCGGGCA